rnacentral:misc_RNA from 1 species
GAUGAAGAAGCAGCGAAAUGCGAUAAGUAAUGUGAAUUGCAGAAUUCAGUGAAUCAUCGAGUUUUUGAACGCAUAUUGCGCCCUCUGGUAUUCCGGGGGGCAUGCCUGUUCGAGCGUCAUUAAAUAACCCUCAAGCAUAGCUUGGUGUUGGGCUUUUUUACGUCCUUGACUGGGAUGGGCCUAAAAAUUAGUGGCGAUGGCUUUUUUACUUUCAAGCGUAGUAAAUCUCGUCUUGCUAAAGAGGAAAAAGAUUUUUUUUCUGCCAAAAAUUUUAACAUUUAAAGUUGACCUCGGAUCAGGUAGGAUUACCCGCUGAACUUAAGCAUAUCAAUAAGCGGAGGA